GCAAAAUUCAAGGAUUGAACCUUACCGGAUAUCUUGGAUCCUCGCUGUAUAAUCUACAAAAUUUGAAGAUAUUUGAUAUCAGUUCCAACAGCAUAAUGGGUGAAAUACCAUACGAAUUACCUCCAAAUGCCACACAUAUAAACAUGGCUUGCAACUAUUUGAGCCAAAAUAUCCCUCAUUCAUUAUCAAACAUGAAAAAACUAAGAC